UGGAGUGCUGUAAUCUACAAAGAAGUCCCAUAACAUGACCUGAAUAACAUGGCAGCAACAUGUGUGCAACAUUCGGGUUGACUUUGCUCCGUGUAAAGCAAAUCUGUCAUGCCUCCAUUCUUUGAGCAGAGCUGGAAAGAAGAUCAAUAACUCAUAAACGUCCAGGGAAGUUUGUGACACUAGAGCUGAUGACUGGAAAUAAGAAGUCAUCAAAAUCCAGGGCUCAUUUUGGUGCCUUUUUGCCUGUCUCAUCUUUAAGUAUUCCAGUCAAUCUGCACAGUAUGCACAGAUUCUGAAUGCAGUAGAUUGGAACAGAUUGGAGAAACAGCUAUCACCCUGAUUGAGAAAAGACAGCCCUAACAACAAGUCUGACAAAACUGGUCUCUGAAUUUUUACCUGGCAGAAUUGAUUAAUUUUCUGCUGUGCCUAAAAGUGUAAGAUAUUUAUUGCCAUAAGAGAAGAGCACAGUCUUCAAAGUCAUGUGAAAUACUCUGUUCUGUAUAAUAAAGAUUUUUUAAGUUAGAAAUUUCUAUAAAAAGAGACUCAAAUUUAGAAUGUACUGUUGGGACCACUUGAUUUAUCUAAUCUGACCUGAAUUGAAUUUUUAAAAAUAAAAAUGUGUAAACACAUCUUUUAUUUUUGAGCUAAUCACAAAGACAGUUAGAACUCUUUCACAUCUCAGCACUUGUUCAUAAUUUUUGAAAAAAUGAAUUUCUAGUACCAAAGCAGCUCUAUUUUUAAAGCAGCUGUGUGCAACGGUAACGUAAUAAGUCACAUAAUAAUCAAGUUACUACGUAACACUGAGGGGUUUUUUGCAGUCAUUUAGUGGGUUGCAGAAGAGAGGAUUUGUUCAUUAACUUGCUAGGCGAUAUCUACUUCUAUACAUAUUAUGAUAUUGAAAUGACUUCCCAGGAACACACUGUUACUCAUUAGAAAUAAUAUUGGGCUGUGGUGUAAUUAAAGUAAAAUAAAAUGUACUGUGACUAUAGCUAAACAAAACAUAAGUACAAAAUAUAGAUCUAUUUGAAAAACAUGGCCUCCAUUUCAGAAACAAUGGCCUCUGUAAUGUUAACUUAUAGACUGGUGUAAGAGGUCAAGAAAGGUAAACGGACUUAAAACUGUCUUUUUCAACAAGUAGCAUGUUUACUUUGCAUACAUGGAUAGUUUGGCCAAACAGCAGAGUUUGUAAUGUUUAAUGCUACAUCUCUAGAAAACAUGUGGCUCUUAAACCACAGUCAAAUCUUCAUGUCAAACAUGUAUG